UUCACUUAUUUCUGUUCUUUUCAGUGUAAUCUUCAUUUGUGGCUCCGGAACUGGAGAAGAUGGACUCUUCCGUUCGAAGUUAUGGUUAUCACGUUAUUCAAAAGCUACGUUAUGUUUCCUGAUGUUUUCAUAGACUGUUUUCUCAUCAAAGAAAGAGGAUGUCUAUGUCAGGGCUUUAUGCCUGCUAUGCCUGUCAGGGCUUUAUAUGGAUAUGAUACUUGUUUCUGAUUGGUUUAAAGUUUCAUGAUUGACUUGCGCUGCUGGAGGCAUUAAUAAAGAAAGUUAU